rnacentral:rRNA from 1 species
UACGUAGGUGGCAAGCGUUGUUCGGAAUUAUUGGGCGUAAAGGGCGCGUAGGCGGUUUGUUAAGUCGGUCGUGAAAGCCCGGGGCUCAACCCCGGAGGGUCGACCGAUACUGGCAGACUAGAGUACAGAAGAGGUAACUGGAAUUCCCGGUGUAGCGGUGAAAUGCGCAGAUAUCAGGAGGAACACCGGUGGCGAAGGCGGGUCUCUGGGCCGAUACUGACGCUGAGGAGCGAAAGCGUGGGGAGCGAACAGG